rnacentral:ncRNA from 1 species
GAACUCUGGAGAAUCUCAUUAAAUUGAGUGCCGAAGGUGCAAGGCUGCAAGGGCGCGGCUGAAUCUCUCAGGCAAACGGACAGAGCGA